rnacentral:hammerhead_ribozyme from 1 species
AUCGAGCUGACGGGUCCCAAAUAGGACGAAAUACACGUUCUAGAU